rnacentral:rRNA from 1 species
GACGAACGCUGGCGGCGUGCCUAACACAUGCAAGUCGAGCGAAAAGACCAGGCGUUUGUGCGUUUGACGUUUGCGGCGGACGGGAGAGUCACAUGAGUAUACUCUACCUAUCAGACUGGGAUAAUCUCGGGACACCGGCUCUUAUACCGGAUAAUAUAUUGCACCGCGUUGGUCAAUAGUGAAAGUCGGUUUUUCUGUCAGUAAUAGCUGGUUACGCGCCGCAUUAGCUGGUUGGUAAGGUCACGGCUUAUCCAGGCUAGGAUGCGUAGGCGACCUCAGAGGGUGGUCGGCCACCCGGGAACUGAGACAGCGUCCAGACGCCUGCGGGAGGCCGCAGUAGCGAAUCUUCCGCAAUGGGGGAAAGCCUGACAGAGCAACGCGGCGUGAGUGAUGAAGGUCCUCGGAGCGUAAAGCUCUGUUAUUAGUUGAGAACAAAUGUGUAAUUAACCGUGCAGGUCGUGACGGUACCGGGUCAAAAAGCCACGGCUAACUACGUG